GCCGUUUGGCCACAGUAAAGGAGUGGGCGCCUGGUUCAGCUCCCUGACUCUUCCACAUUGCUGCUACUUGGUUUGGAGCCCUUUUUUGGAACUCACUUGGAACCUUUCAUGUUCCCAGAUGUCACGCAAGGUUUCCUGGCAGUACCUGUGUCUCUUGCUGAGGGAAGCAUCUGGCUCCCAUUUUCUCAUCCCCUCUGCUCUGUUGGUGGCCACAGACCACAUUCCAGAGUAGAGGGGUUUACCCUGGGGUGGAAACCUGAGCCUGCCCAGCAGAGGUUGGGAGCCUGAGGUCAUGCUCCAGAUGACUUGCCACUUGGAGCCAUACUUGUCUGAGCACGUUAUGACCUGCACAAAAAAGCCAGACCAGCAAUGAGCAGGCCCAGGAUAGACAGGGAGAGGCCUGGAGAGGACCACAAACCCAUUCGGGCGGGCUCUGGAACUGGAAAUAAAAGCCUUUUAAAUAGCCCUGGAGCCUGGGCAGCUGCCUCCUCAGUAUGGCCUGAGGUGUGGGGAUGGGUUGCCUGCCGCCUCCCUCCCGUCCCCCCGGAGGCCACGCCUUUCUGGUUCAGAGCUUUAUAGGCACACAUACCAAUUAGGGGACAAACCACAGCUGCUCACGCGCUCUGCCAGUCUGCUGCUGUGCCUGGAAUAGAACCCAGGCGCCCGGCACCCCGCCCCUCCGCAGCCUGGCUCUGAGUAACAAAACCCUGCUUCCAUCUCAGCAACCGUGCACACCACCCUUCCUCCCACGCUAGAAAGUCGCCCCCAGAUUCUUAAGUUGGAAGGUUUGGUUCCCAUGACAACAGACUUGAGCUGGCAGAAUGGGUGACCUGGCUCUGGGAGCCUCCGCAGCGCGGAGGAAGCCGCAUACCCUUGCUGACCAGCCAGAUAACCGCAGUGGCUCUGUCUUUGUGUUCUUGGGUCCUUCCGGGUAGUUCCCCUUUUAAGUCCCCCUUCACCCCCAGCUCCGUGUUUUUCUGCAGCUUCUCUGGCUGCAGCAACCUCGGAAUCCCACAGUGCUUCGAGGAGGCAGGCGGAGGGGGCGGGGAGAUGGGAGAGCAGGCGAUCCCCUUGACCCCCGCAAGAAGAGGAUGAGCCCUCCAAUUUCUUAGGCUUCGCUACGGAGAUGUCAGCGGGAAGGCGAAUUCCAGAUGGGGAAACUGAGGCUCGAGCUGCAGACUUGGCUUUGGAAGAAUCACCUCCCGCAUUCCCUCCCACUCCCGCGGCUUUCCCAAAACCCCUAGGCAGCGGGGGUGGGGGUGCGGGGGCAAAGGAGAGUCUACCCUCCUCCCGUGAAGCCCUCCGGGGCGCUUCGGGUAGGCAAUUUUAGUCAGGAAGGGGCGGGAACUAACGAAACGUCCUCUCCCCUCUACCCAAGGCGUUUGCCCGGCGCCAACCCGCCCCCGCCCGCGCCGGGGUCUCCUCUUCUGCCUGGAGACAGCCGCAAGCUUAGACUGCACACUCCACUGCACACUGACACGCCGCACUCAGAUCCCCACCCCCACAGCGGACCGAUCACACAAUGGCACACGGUACACAGAUCCAUAGGCACACAAUCGCACACUGUCUCAUAGGCACAACGGCAUUGCAAGCAUACACAACCAUAUUGCACAGUCACACACACACACGCAAUUCGGAAACAUCUAGACGCGCAAUGACACAAAGUGGCCUCCCGAUUCCGCCCUUCUUCCAGCACCCACCUCAGCUCAUCACUUCAUGCACACAUGCCAGGAGCUUCCAUCGCUUAUACAGAAACGUUCAGCUUUUCAGAAGAAACGUUUUAUUAUUUUUUUGUCGAAGAAAAAAAGCCAUAUAAAUA
rnacentral:lncRNA from 1 species